rnacentral:rRNA from 1 species
ACGAACGCUGGCGGCGUGCUUAACCCAUGCAAGUCGAACGGUGAACUCCGCUUGCGGGGGGAUCAGUGGCGAACGGGUGAGUAACACGUGGGCAACCUGCCCUCAGCUCUGGGAUAACUCCAAGAAAUUGGGGCUAAUACCGGAUAUGACCGCUGACCGCAUGGUCUGGUGGUGGAAAGAUUUAUCGGCUGGGGAUGGGCCCGCGGCCUAUCAGCUUGUUGGUGGGGUAGUGGCCUACCAAGGCGACGACGGGUAGCCGGCCUGAGAGGGUGACCGGCCACACUGGGACUGAGACACGGCCCAGACUCCUACGGGAGGCAGCAGUGGGGAAUAUUGCGCAAUGGGCGAAAGCCCGACGCAGCGACGCCGCGUGGGGGAUGACGGCCUUCGGGUUGUAAACCUCUUUCAGCAGGGACGAAGCGAAAGUGACGGUACCUGCAGAAGAAGCACCGGCCAACUACGUG